GGAUGUGAGGGCAAUCUGGCUGCGACAUCUGUCACCCCAUUGAUGGCCAGGGUUGAUUCAGCUGAUCUGGCUGGCUAGACGGGUGUCCCCUUCCUCCCUCACUGCUCCAUGUGCGUCCCCCCCGCCCCGAAGCCGACCAUCCCCGAGAAAGGAGGACCGUUCUUCCGUCAAGGGUAUAGGAGUAGCGGCGCUCCCCUGCUAGAACCUCCAAACGAGCUCUCAAGAAUCUGACUGCAUCAGCUCAGGUCACCGUGCAGGUGCGGGGUUUGAUCCCUGGC
rnacentral:snRNA from 1 species